rnacentral:rRNA from 1 species
CGCCUCUUGAUAAUAAUAAGAGGUCCAGCCUGCCCAGUGACCAUGUUCAACGGCCGCGGUAUCCUAACCGUGCGAAGGUAGCGUAAUCACUUGUUCUCUAAUUGUGGACUAGUAUGAAAGGCAUCACGAAGGUUAUACUGUCUCCUUUCCCUAAUCAGUGAAACUAAUCUUCCCGUGAAGAAGCGGGAAUUAUACUAUAAGACGAGAAGACCCUAUGGAGCUUUAAACAACAUAGCAACUCCCAUAAUAAAUUAAAAUUUUCUGAAUCACUAACUUUACUAGGCAGUGUGACUAUAAGUUUUUGGUUGGGGUGACCGCGGAGCAUAACACAACCUCCACGCUGAAAGAAUUCUCAUUCUAAGCCGAGAUCUACCCAUCUAAGCAUCAACAGAUUGACAUUAAUUGACCCAAUACAAUUGAUCAACGAACCAAGUUACCCUAGGGAUAACAGCGCAAUCCACUUCAAGAGCUCCUAUCGACAAGUGGGUUUACGACCUCGAUGUUGGAUCAGGGUUUCCCAGUGGUGCAGCCGCUACUAAAGGUUCGUUUGUUCAACGAUUAAAACCCUACG